GAGUAGUAUAACUCGGUAAUGAUCCCUCCGUAGGUGAACCUGCGGAGGGAUCAUUA
rnacentral:rRNA from 1 species